UUGGAUGCCAGGCUUUCUAGUUAGCGCUCUCUCUUUGUGACUCACAGAUGAUGUCUCAACAUAUAAGCUCUCAGCUACUGUUCCAGCGCCAUGCCUGCCUGCCUGCUGCCAUGCUGCCUACCAUGAUGGUCAUGGACUCACCCUCUGAAACUUGUUGGAUGGCGUGAAUGGGCGAGUAAGCAUAGAAGAGCUUCCUGCUGCUCUUGGGUAUUCUCAUGUGGCCUGUUGCUGCUUUGUUCUGGGACUGGACUAUCAGAAGCAAACAACAUCUUGACGAAUGACGUUUACCUUACGUAAGACGAUCUCACCAGCCUCCUCGGUGCAGAGAAUUCUUCCCUCACUGCAGCCUGUGUAUGCUGUGGGAAUAGCAGAAUGAUAUACAGCCAACUGUUACUGAGCACCAGACUGCAGAUACAAUGUGACCAGCCUGCAGUGCUUCCUGUGCCACAACGGACCAACCACAUCCUCCAACCGCGGGUCUAGAGCCUGCAGUGAUGACGGAGGACGACGAUGGAGUUGGUUCCCUGCUGGUGCUUGCUUCCUAUAAAAGCCAAUCCUUUACGAGCUGAUUGUCUUCCAAUAAAUUUGGGGUCGCUGCAUUCGUGCUUGCCUCCUGCUGCACACAGCUUCCUUGCUCUGGAAAGUCAGCCGAGUGCUUCACCCUGUCUAACACAUGUUGAUGCUGUUAGACAAUUCCUCACUCUGUACACACACAGCACAGGGUUAGAGAAAUGACUUUGAACAAAGAGAUGAGGCCAGGUCUAUGUGCUCAUCUGCUGUGCUUUGCGGAGGCGUGUGCAUGCAAGGCACACGUGCACCACAGAUGACUGAGGAAGCUCUAAGCAUUCCUGAGCUCCCAGAGGCUCUCCCAGAUCUGUG